GGGCGAUUAGCUCAGUUGGUCAGAGCACUGGUCUCACAUAUCAGGGGUCACUGGUUCAAAUCCAGUAUCGCCCA
rnacentral:tRNA from 1 species